rnacentral:rRNA from 1 species
AUUGAACGCUGGCGGCAGGCUUAACACAUGCAAGUCGAGCGGGGGAAGGUAGCUUGCUACCGGACCUAGCGGCGGACGGGUGAGUAAUGCUUAGGAAUCUGCCUAUUAGUGGGGGACAACAUCUCGAAAGGGAUGCUAAUACCGCAUACGUCCUACGGGAGAAAGCAGGGGAUCUUCGGACCUUGCGCUAAUAGCUGAGCCUAAGUCGGAUUAGCUAGUUGGUGGGGUAAAGGCCUACCAAGGCGACGAUCUGUAGCGGGUCUGAGAGGAUGAUCCGCCACACUGGGACUGAGACACGGCCCAGACUCCUACGGGAGGCAGCAGUGGGGAAUAUUGGACAAUGGGGGGAACCCUGAUCCAGCCAUGCCGCGUGUGUGAAGAAGACCUUAUGGUUGUAAAGCACUUUAAGCGAGGAGGAGGCUACUUUAGUUAAUACCUAGAGAUAGUGGACGUUACUCGCAGAAUAAGCACCGGCUAACUCUGUGCCAGCCGCCGCUGUAA